rnacentral:rRNA from 1 species
UAGGGAAUCUUCGGCAAUGGGGGGAACCCUGACCGAGCAACGCCGCGUGAGUGAAGAAGGUUUUCGGAUCGUAAAGCUCUGUUGUUAAGGAAGAACGAGUGUGAGAAUGGAAAGUUCAUACUGUGACGGUACUUAACCAGAAAGGGACGGCUAACUACGUGCCAGCAGCCGCGGUAAUACGUAGGUCCCGAGAGUUGUCCGGAUUUAUUGGGCGUAAAGCGAGCGCAGGCGGUUAGAUAAGUCUGAAGUUAAAGGCAGUGGCUCAACCAUUGUAGGCUUUGGAAACUGUUUAACUUGAGUGCAGAAGGGGAGAGUGGAAUUCCAUGUGUAGCGGUGAAAUGCGUAGAUAUAUGGAGGAACACCGGUGGCGAAAGCGGCUCUCUGGUCUGUAACUGACGCUGAGGCUCGAAAGCGUGGGGAGCGAACAGG